CGUGGGUGCAAAGGUACAAUUUUUACAAAUGAAGAAUUUAACUGUACAUACCGCAAAAAAAUGGAGUUUAGCCAUAACCUAUAAUGACAGUAUCCCACUUUCGAAUAAACAAAGCUGCAUAAAAUGUAAUCAUUGGACGAGAAUAUUACAAAGUAACAGAAAAUAUAAAGCUUCGUCCAUGGGGAUCGUGUUUGUGUAUAUAGGCCCGCAGUUGAUCCGUUGCACGCUUUCUCAUUGUUUGUUGCUUCCCUCGAUAGUGCACGAAACAGUUCUUUUGCCUACCCGACUUUCUACACAAGUAAGGCCAUUUGUCCUGCAAGGUACAGCGAGAGAAACACAUAUUAGAUUAUGUUGAAACAUAAAAAUACAACACGUAAUGAAUCAAAUUCAUGUCUACACUAAUGUGCACUAUCGAGAAAAAUUGACCUCAAUCGUCGGUAUGGACAGUUCAUCUGUCG
rnacentral:lncRNA from 1 species